rnacentral:lncRNA from 10 species
CAUGCAUCUCCCUUUCUCUGCCAAACUCUUCCUUGAUGACACACAAGAUCCGAGGAUGAAUGAUUGCCCUCUUGAACUCAUUACACUUUCCUUGCCUAGAAUCUGGGGACAGAAUGAAGGCUCUGUCUUCUACUCCAUCAUCUUGUUGGCAUCACUCCUGGAAAAGGGUUGUCCUCUAAUCCAAUAGGACUGGUGUCCACAUUAGAAGAAGAAGAGAUACCAGGAGUAAAUACACACAGAGACAAGACUGUAUGAGGACACAGAAAGAAGGCAGCCAUCUGUCAGCAAACAUGAGAGGCCUCAGAAGAAAUCAAAUUUUGGGCACCUUGAUGUUGGACUUCCAUCUUCC